rnacentral:rRNA from 1 species
ACGGGGGCCCGCACAAGCGGUGGAUUAUGUGGAUUAAUUCGAUGCAACGCGAAAAACCUUACCUGGCCUUGACAUGUAGCGAACUUUCCAGAGAUGGAUUGGUGCUCGAAAGAGAACGCUAACACAGGUGCUGCAUGGCUGUCGUCAGCUCGUGUCGUGAGAUGUUGGGUUAAGUCCCGCAACGAGCGCAACCCUUGCCAUUAAUUGCCAUCAUUUAGUUGGGCACUUUAAUGGGACUGCCGGUGACAAACCGGAGGAAGGUGGGGAUGACGUCAAGUCCUCAUGGCCCUUAUGGCCAGGGCUUCACACGUAAUACAAUGGUCGGUACAGAGGGUUGCCAAGCCGCGAGGUGGAGCCAAUCCCAGAAAGCCGAUCGUAGUCCGGAUUGUAGUCUGCAACUCGACUACAUGAAGUCGGAAUCGCUAGUAAUCGCGGAUCAGCAUGUCGCGGUGAAUACGUUCCCGGGCCUU